rnacentral:tRNA from 1 species
GUCUCUCUGGCGCAGUUGGUGAGCGCAUUCAGCUGUUCAUCAAAAGGUUGGUGGUUCGAGCCCACCUAGGGACA